rnacentral:lncRNA from 1 species
GAAGAAGGGAAAAAAUAAAUUGGAGAUACAAUGAUUGGCAAAAAUGACAUCUUUAUUUAUUUUUAAUAAAAGAUAAAUGUAAUGUAGAGCCAUGGCCUUAUUCUUCUAAACUUCUGUGGGACUUACACAGUUUAUUAUGUAAGUCUCUGUAAUUCAAGUUACCCGGAAAGUUCAAUUUCAUGUGUGAUUAUUAUUGCCUAUUGAAAGUGCAUCUGAUUUGUUAUAACAGGAACCCUGUAGGGGAAAUAAUUGUAUGUUGUUAGCAAUGAAUAUAUGUAAACCUUUAAAAAUGAAUUAAUGUUUUUGAUAUAGCAUGUUUAAUUCAAGCUAGUCUGUGUUCAAUUAUUGGAAGCAGGGAGUGAACGCUCUAAGAAAUAAAAUAACCUAGGGUGAAACACCUUAUUUUAUGAAAAACUAAUUUUUAGGAGCAUUUUCUUUUAUACUAUGUAAAAAAAUCCCUGAAAGAUGAACAGACUUUGACAGCUGUUAUAGGUGAGAGCCUCAAGUAAAGAUAAAAUUAAAUGUUUUCCUUAAAUGCUAUUGCCCAAAUAAUGAAUAUCCAUAAUUGAAAACUGAGAUUACCUUAUACUUUGCUUUGUUCUCUCUGCCAGAGUCCUACCCACUGUAUUAGUUGUUAGAGUUGUGGAACUUAACCGAAGCUUUCUCUGGAUUCCAGGUAACUUUGUUCUUUUGUUUUUGUUUUUUUCCUGCAGAAUCGAUAUAUGGGCCUGAAAUAUAUUAAGUUAGAGACCAAACUUUUGAAAAUUGACUAGAGAAAUGCUGCUGUUGAGUUUACUUUCUUCUGAAAGAAUAUCUUUUCCUGUAAUGGGAGGUACAAUAUUUCUGUACAGAGCUACUUCACUCCCACAAGUCAUAGGUCAUCAAGAAGAGCAU